rnacentral:rRNA from 1 species
CGCGGCAGCUACACAUGCAGUCGACGGUAACAGGAAGCAGCUUGCUUCUUUGCUGACGAGUGGCGGACGGGUGAGUAAUGUCUGGGAAACUGCCUGAUGGAGGGGGAUAACUACUGGAAACGGUAGCUAAUACCGCAUAACGUCGCAAGACCAAAGAGGGGGACCUUCGGGCCUCUUGCCAUCGGAUGUGCCCAGAUGGGAUUAGCUAGUAGGUGGGGUAACGGCUCACCUAGGCGACGAUCCCUAGCUGGUCUGAGAGGAUGACCAGCCACACUGGAACUGAGACACGGUCCAGACUCCUACGGGAGGCAGCAGUGGGGAAUAUUGCACAAUGGGCGCAAGCCUGAUGCAGCCAUGCCGCGUGUAUGAAGAAGGCCUUCGGGUUGUAAAGUACUUUCAGCGGGGAGGAAGGGAGUAAAGUUAAUACCUUUGCUCAUUGACGUUACCCGCAGAAGAAGCACCGGCUAACUCCGUGCCAGCAGCCGCGGUAAUACGGAGGGUGCAAGCGUUAAUCGGAAUUACUGGGCGUAAAGCGCACGCAGGCGGUUUGUUAAGUCAGAUGUGAAAAUCCCCGGGCUCAACCUGGGAACUGCAUCUGAUACUGGCAAGCUUGAGUCUCGUAGAGGGGGGUAAAAUUCCAGGUGUAGCGGUGAAAUGCGUAGAAGAUCUGGAGGAAUACCCGGUGGCGAAGGCGGCCCCCUGGACAAAGACUGACGCUCAGUGCUAGAGCGUGGGCAGCAAACAGAAUAAAAUACCCUGGUAGUCACGCGUAAACGAUGUCAAUGUGAAGGUUGUGUCCUUUGAGCGGUGCUUCCGUACCCAACCAGUAUUCAACCCCCUGGGAGAGAGAGGCCCAAGUUAGACAC